rnacentral:rRNA from 1 species
AUUGAACGCUGGCGGCAGGCCUAACACAUGCAAGUCGAACGAGUGGCGGACGGGUGAGUAAUGUCUGGGAAAAUGCACGAUGGAGGGGGAUAACUACUGGAAACGGUCGAUAAUACCGCAUACCAUCGGAUGUGCCCAGAUGGGAUUAGCUAGUAGGUGGGGGAACGGCUCACCUAGGCGACGAUCCCUAGCUGGUCUGAGAGGAUGACCAGCCACACUGGAACUGAGACACGGUCCAGAGUCCUACGGGAGGCAGCAGUGGGGAAUAUUGCACAAUGGGCGCAAUCCUGAUGCAGCCAUGCCGCGUGUAUGAAGAAGGCCUUCGGGUUGUAAAGUACUUUCAGCGAGUAGGCGUUACUCGCAGAAGAAGCACCGGCUAACUCCGUGCCAGUAGCCGCGGUAAUAC